rnacentral:rRNA from 1 species
UGAGUAAUACAUCGGAACGUGUCUUCUAGUGGGGGAUAACUGCCCGAAAGGGCAGCUAAUACCGCACGAGACCUGAGGGUGAAAGCGGGGGAUCGCAAGACCUCGCGCUGGAAGAGCGGCCGAUGUCCGAUUAGCUAGUUGGUGAGGUAAAGGCUCACCAAGGCGACGAUCGGUAGCUGGUCUGAGAGGACGACCAGCCACACUGGGACUGAGACACGGCCCAG